UGCGUCGGCUGCAUACCGUGUAAAUAUGAAUUCUGUACAGUACAAAUGCCUCUGUCUUAGAGAAAAGUAAAAAAAUAUAUAUAUAUAAUGCUGCUUCAAGGGAACACCCCUUAUAGAGAAAUAGAAUAAAGAGCUAAUUACUGGAAUCUUCCCUAAUUCCAAAUGGGAUUGGCAUUAACAGAGUACAGUUCCACUAGUCUGCAUUACAGAUGUCAGUUAUCCGUCCUACUUGUAAACAGGGUAAACAAAAUGGAGGUCAAUUAUACAAACUGCUUUAAUAACGUGCAGUGAUCCUUCUUAGCAGACUUUCAUUAACAAGUUAUUGUCAGAGUAAUAUAUAAGAACAGUGUGCCUUUUUCCCCAGCAGACAUUUUGACUUACUGAAAGUGAAGCACAGGUGUCACUGAUAACAUUAACCCUUGUGUUGUCUUCCCGUUAAAAUGGAAAAU